UAUGGUGGUUUUUCAAGUGGC
rnacentral:siRNA from 1 species